GGAAUUAGAAAAAAGAAAAGGAAAAUGGGCACGAGACUAAAACGCAACUUAGAGAAGAGAAAAGAAAAGAAAAGUUCAAUCUCUCGUCUUCUCCGAUCGAUCUUUCAUCUUAUUCGAUCAGAAAAAAUUCGCGUGACCUAGCCUAAUUGGAACCCAGAAGGCGCACCUCCUUCUUCAAUCUCUCUUCUCCGAUCUCUCAUCUUCUCCGACCGAUCUUCCAACUUCUUCUAUCUCUCUUCUUCUUCGAUUCUUUUUGGUGCCUUGUACAUUAUAAAUCUACGAAUUGUGCAUUAUCCUUGCUUGAGCUACACUUGUCUGGUAGUAAUGUUGAACGACUUUGGAAUGGAACAAAGAGAGAAGAAGAAAAGAGAUUAGAGGGCUAGAUAACCAACAACUAAUGAGGCAAUAAGUAAAUGCUUGGGAGAUUAUAACAUGCAGACCGAUUUAUAAAAGGAGUUAGGUCUGGACAAAGCUUACCUUAGUGAGACUCUUUUCACAUUCAUAUUUCUAUUCUUUGUUGCGCAAUAAUUUAAAGAUAUAAUGUUUCAAAAAGAUUGGGUUCAUUUGAACAGAGCAACCAAUGAAUAUAUAAAGGGAGCAUGGAACUUUGUGAAACAAGUAGAGAACAUAUUGGGUGGAGUAGAUAAAAUUCUGUGUCCAUGCAAGACAUGUAGGAACAUGAAUCAUCAAACCUUUGAUGUUGUAUAUGAACAUUUGGUUAUAAAAGGUAUGGAUCCUACUUAUAGGUUUUGGUACCAUCAUGGUGAAGAAGUGCCGGUAGCGUGUAUGUUUGAUGGUUAUCCCUUUUGUAGUACUUCUUUCAUGAGCGACGAAAAGGUUGAUGAACCAUUCGUAAAUGAUGUUAAUCAAAAGGUCGUAGAUGUAAACACUUCCUUGUAUCCUCAUUGUACAAAAUAUACAAGAAUGUCAAUUGUGGUAUCUUUAUAUAAGAUAAAGGCUACUAAUGAUUGGACUGAUAAAAGUUUCACAAGCCUUUUAGAGAUGUUGCACGAUAUGCUACCCCCUAACAAUGUUAUCCCAAAAUCUACUUAUGAAGUAAAGAAGUUCUUAAAAGUAUUUGGUCUACGAUAUGAAAAGAGUCAUGCUUGUCAAAAUGAUUGUUUCUUGUUUACGAAAGAGAAUAAAGAUUUAGAGACAUGUCCAAUUUGUGGGCAUUCUCAAUGGAAGGUGGAUAAGCACACCAAAAGAAUGAAAUGGGGUGUUUCAACAAAAGUGUUAAGAUACUUUUCGUUGAUUCCAAGAUUGAAACGAAUGUUCCAAAUGCAUGAUGUUGCAAAAUUACUAACAUGGCAUAUGAACCAUAAAAGCAGUGAUGGGAAGAUGCGUCAUCCAGUCGAUUGUUUUUCAUGGGACUCAAUUGAUGUAAAGUGGCCCGACUUUUCGAAUGAUCCAUGAAACUUGAGAUUCGGUCUUGCAACCGAUGGUUUCAACCCAUUCUCUAACCUUACUAGUAAGUACAGUUGUUGGCCAGUCAUGCUUGUAGUAGGUAUAGAAACAAGUUUAGUAGUAGGUAUAGAAAUAAGUUUAAUCUUAAAACCUUUAUUGAUAUCUCCUUGAGUAUGAUUUUCAGGCAAAGAGCAAGACGUUUAAAGAUAUGAAACAGAAGCAACUUCCUCACACAUGUAGUCGUAGAGGCUAUGCUCGACUAGUUAAAGAUUUGAAAAACUCUUCUUUAACUCUGAUUACAUGAGUAGAUGUUUGGACGAAGGCACAUGUGAAGGAAGAUGGAACACCUAUAAACUCGCAAGUGGUCGACACUCUGAUUGCUUUAAUUUUUGUAUUGUUUAUAGUUGCUGCCAUAUUUAAUAGUUGCUGUCAUAUUGUAUAGUUGUUGCCAUAUUUCAUAGUUGUUGCCAUUUUCUUAUUCUGUUGUUGCCAUAUCUUAUAGUUGCUGCCAUAUUUUAUAUAUGGGUAACUACAUCUUGUUGUAGAUCUUGUUGGGACUAUCGACAUCUUGAUGUAAAUGUUGUUGCUGCCAUUUUUUAUAGUUGCUGUCAUUUUUAAUGUUUCAAUCUCUUGUUAGGUUGCUGCCCAUUGAGUAAUGAGAUUUAGUUGAAGUAGGUCUUAAAUGUUGUGACUUUCCCUAAUGCCUUCUCUCCCACCUCCCCCAAUGAUCUUUUUUAUUCCUACUUUUGUUUACUAUUGAGUAUUGAUUUGUAUUUGGAUUAUUGCCGUUUGAGUAUUUAUUUCUUCAAAUAAAUGACUUAUUUGAUGAAAUAUUCUUUAUUUGAUGAAAUAUUCUUAGAUGCCACUUGUUUCAAGUAUCGAUUUGUAGUUGGAUUUUAAAUGACUGCCCAUGAUUGCUGCCCAUGUUUUUAAAUGUAGUUUGAUUGUUUCCUUCUACUAAAUGACUUGUUGUGACUGUCUUAUGCCCCUCCACCCACCCCCCACCCACCAUGACUUUUGAAUAGUUACUAUGAUUUUUGGUUAGGAGCGUAUUGAACAAAAUCGUGUGGCUUCUUCGAGUAGUAUAAUUGAUGAUGCAAUUAGUAGAGUUCUCGAUCCGAUCAAGGCUAUGUAAGAGGACUAAGAUUUGGUGUGACUCUAUCGAAGGUGUCUACAUCAAUUCACAAAGAUAAAACCAUUACAUCUCUUGAAAUAAAAUGUGACAACUUAACUUCGGAUGUAGAUGAGUUGAAAAGUAUGGUAGCUUCCUUACUAAAGGACAAGGAAAAAACAAGUGAUGACAAUUCUAAUCAUCUUGUUAGAAGAGUACCAUCAUCGGUGCAUAUUCGUACUCCUACUCCUACUCCAAUCAUAAAUUUCCCACCGGUAAAUUCUAAUCAUCUUUGUUAUUUUAAAUUAUUAUUGUUUGAGAUUUUUAUAACCAUAUUAUUGUUGAAAAUAAGUGUUAUUACCAACACUCCCUAUAAGUGCUUGCUACUAGAUUGGGUUUGUUUAGGAGAUGUUAUUGCUAAAGGUAGAUGGUCUUUCAAUGAUCCAUCUAUUCUUAUCCAACAUUGUACCUCUUGGCCCCAACGCAGUUCGUGUGUGGAUUGAUACGGUGAAAAUACCAAAUUCCUUCUUAUGGAGGCCUACCUUUGACAUUAUUAUUAUUGAUGAUGCUUUGAGCACUACUGUAGCAUGACCAAUGGAUAAAGUCAAACUAUGUAAUUGAUGUGUGGAGAAAACAUUGGAGCAACACAUAUAUGUUGGAUAAUUUAACAAUUGCUACAAUUUGAACAUCUUUUUUUAUCCUAUCAAAAUUUUGGGACUUUGGAACCUAAUGUUGAUGAUAUGAAGUCAUUUUAACUAAAUUAAGAAUUUACUUGUCCUAAUAGUUAAGGACUUUGAAACUUA